rnacentral:ncRNA from 2 species
ACUUAAUAAAGGCAAACUUAUUUAAAGGUAAGGACGCAAAGCCAUGAGUCUAAAGGAUCUUUUCCCAUGAUAGUCAGGUCGCUAAG